AGAGUUUGAUCCCAGCUCAGGAUGAACCCUAGCGGUGCGCCUAACACAUGUAAGUCGUGCGAUCGAGCCGAACUGAGUCCCUUCGGGGAUGAUGAUUGGUGACGGAGCGGCGGACGGGUGAGUAACGCGUGGCUAACCUACCCUCUUGACGGGACAACCACCCGAAAGGGCGGCUAAUACCCGAUAUUGUCUGGAACCGAUGGGUUCCUUUCCAAAGGCGGUCAUGCCGCCGCAAGGGGAUGGGGCUGCGUCCUAUUAGCUAGUUGGUGAGGUAACGGCCCACCAAGGCUUCGAUGGGUAGCCGGUCUGAGAGGACGACCAGCCACAUUGGGACUGAGAUACGGCCCAGACUCCUACGGGAGGCAGCAGUGGGGAAUCUUGGCCAAUGGACGAAAGUCUGAGCCAGCGACACCGCGUGGGGGAUGAAGGCCUUCGGGUUGUAAACCUCUUUUCUGGGGAAAGAAUAAGGACGGGAGGAAAUGCCCGCCCGAUGACGGUACUCCAGGAAUAAGCAUCGGCUAACUCUGUGCCAGCAGCCGCGGUAAGACAGAGGAUGCAAGCGUUAUCCGGAAUUACUGGGCGUAAAGGGCGUCUAGGCGGUUCGGUAAGUCGUUUGUGAAAUCCCUCGGCUCAACCGUGGAAGGUCUUGCGAUACUGCCGGGCUUGGGUGCAGGAGAGGAGGGUGGAACUCACAGAGUAGCGGUGGAAUGCGUAGAUACUGUGAGGUACCCCGAUGGCGAAGGCAACCCUCUGGCCUGCUACCGACGCUGAAGCGCGAAAGCGUGGGGAGCAAAGGGGAUUAGAUACCCCCGUAGUCCACGCCCUAAACAAUGUUCACUUGGUGUCGGCCGCUCAUACUGGUCGGUGCCGAAGCUAACGCGUUAAGUGAACCGCCUGAGGAGUACGGCCGCAAGGCUAAAACUCAAGAGAAUUGACGGGUCCCUGCACAAGCGGUGGAGCACGUGGUUUAAUUCGAUGAUAAACGAAAAACCUCACCCAGGCUUGACAUACUAGUGGUAGGAACCUGAAAGGGGGACGACUCUGCCUUCGGGUAGAGAGCUAGUACAGGUGAUGCAUGGCUGUCGUCAGCUCGUGUCGUGGGAUGUUGGGUUCAGUCCCGAAACGAGCGCAACCCUUGUCGUUAGUUGCCAGCGGGUAAUGCCGGGGACUCUAACGAGACUGCUGGUGAAUAGCCGGAGGAAGGCGGGGAUGACGUCAAGUCAUCAUGUCCCUUAUGCCUGGGGCGACACACAUGCUACAAUGGGGGGUACAGAGGGUCGCAAUCCCGUAAGGGGGAGCCAAUCCAUAAAAACCCCUCCCAGUUCGGAUUGAGGUCUGCAACUCGACCUCAUGAAGUCGGAAUCGCUAGUAAUCGCGGGUCAGCCAUACCGCGGUGAAUAUGUACUCAGGGAUUGUACACACCGCCCGUCACACCAACCGAGUGGGGGGUACCUGAAGUCGCUCUUCUGAGGGCGCCUAGGGUAACUUCCGCAAGAGGGGUGAAGUCGUAACAAGGUA
rnacentral:rRNA from 1 species